rnacentral:pre_miRNA from 1 species
UUUUUUUGAAAAUCACAAGCAUGGUCGCACUUCAAACAACUCAAAUCGCGAAAAAAAAAAAAAGUUGUUUGAAGUGCGACCAUGCUUGUGAUUUUCCAAAAAA